GGGAUUGCCUUAGUAACGGCGAGUGAAGCGGCAAGAGCUCAAAUUUGAAAUCGGCUACCAAGUCGAGUUGUAAUUUGUAGAUUGUUUCUUGAGAAUUUGGUUAAAGUUAGUUGGAACACUACGCCAUUGAGGGUGAUAGCCCCGUUUACCUUUUCUCACUGCAAGAAACUUUCAAAGAGUCGAGUUGUUUGGGAAUGCAGCUCUAAGUGGGAGGUAAAUUCCUUCUAAAGCUAAAUAUUGGCGAGAGACCGAUAGCGAACAAGUACUGUGAAGGAAAGAUGAAAAGAACUUUGAAAAGAGAGUGAAAAAGUACGUGAAAUUGUUAAAAGGGAAGGGUACUACAUCAGUCAUGGUGGUUAUGUUCAGUUUUCUCUCGGGGAAAUGUAUUCAUAACUACUAGGUCAAGAUGGGAUUUGUCUGGAAGAAAAAACUUUAGAAAUGUGGCUCUUUCGAGUGUUAUAAUCUAUUGCAAUAUUCCAUGACGGGUCUCAGGACUGCGAAUUUAUUUCUAGGAUCUUGACAUAAUGAUAUAGUACCGCCCGUCUUGAAACA
rnacentral:rRNA from 2 species